AAGCAACAGCACUUAUUGUUCCCUCUUCUCCGGCUGCCCCAGAAAGAUGCAAAGGAGGAAGAGGCAACCAUGAGUGCGGUGGUGGCAACGGCUUCCUCCCGGGCCUCCCUUGCAGCUCCGCAUCCUCUUCUGCAUGGAUCCCGCUCUGCCGUCUCAGAGCAGCUGGUGGGAACCUUCAAGCUCCUCAAAGAUGAGCAAGCAAGGCGCAGGGAAAAGAAAUCUUCCAUUAGAACUUCCUUCAGAGCCUCCCUCCCUCCCUCGAGGCACCUUCCCGUGGCCUCACUUUUAAAAGUUGCGCAAACGGCACCUCUCUAGUUUGGCCUUCCCCUCUGCACCCCCUGGAGGGGCUCCUCCAUGCAUGGUGGGCAAAAAUAACUUCCCUCCUUGCCAAGCCCCCGGCGCCGUGUCGGAUAAUACGGUGUGUCGGAUAAGAGGAAGUCGAAUAACCGGAACUCUACUGUAAUCUGUUUCAUCCAGAAAUCCCUGGAGUUGGGAGGCCACCAAGACCUUGCUCAGAAAAAGGAGGUUGAAGACUGGCUGAUAGUUGUCCAUUAUAAAGGAGUUCAGGAAUGGCUUUUUAAAUAUAAGUGUCACAACUGUCCCCUUUAGGCAAGUUGCAACUUUGCCUUGUUCCAAGGAGGCAUUAACCACCAUCUUCACCCACUUUGCCAGUCCCCCUCUGGCUCCUGUUUGAUCAGUCCGGAAGGGCAAAGAUCUAGAAUACCUCUCACCUCUCCAAGGAUCCUGUCCACACCCUCAGGCUGCACAAUUUGAAGGGUAUCCAUCAACACUGGACAAGCAGGAGGCAGAGUUAACAUCCAUUGGAACUGUAUCAUUCAGUGAGCUGCUGAAUGGUCAGGAGUGUCUCCUUGAGGACCAGUAUGUAGUAGCCUGUGACCACUCGAAACUAGUCUGCUGGACAGUUUCUUGCAGACACAAUCAUGGCAGCAAGGAACAAUUUCUCUGCUGCCCCCAUUGUCACAGAGUAGGCAUUCAAAUACGCUCUAGCCCGUACUCGGUCAGAUUUGCUUUGAGUUCUCUGCCAACAUUGCUCUGUCCUCUGCCUCACUUGCUUCAUCGCUGCCAGCUCCUUGGAAAACCAAGGGGCUGGUUUGACUCUGUGAAAGGAGACGUUCAGGAGUCUCCAAGAACUGUCAGGAAUCAAUCCAGAUCCAUAAGCCUCCUGGGGUGGACCAUCUUAAUCAGUCCAUGACAACGGAACUGCAACAAGUUCCUCGACAUUGCAAUCACCAUCAUCCCAUCCUGCACAGAAAACAAGGCCCAAAGUUUGUCCUGCAGCAUGGGUAGGGCAAGACACUACUUGGGACAGACCUGUGGUUGUCAUGGAAGCCAUGAAGUCCUGAGCCACUCCUGACAGGGCAGUCUCAGCAUGGAUGUUGAAGUGUUCCAGCAGUAUUAACUACUGAGACUCCAAUGCCAAUUCCAAUACCAACCCAGUUAGCUCAAGAAGGGAGACUGUUGAGCAGCCGAGUGAGCGGUACACCAACAGAAUCUCUAUUCUGUCCUGGUUACCCACUUUAAGAUAAAUACACUCAAACGCUGUUGACUGUGAGAUGGGGAACCUGGUCAGAGGGAUGGAAUCACAAUAGACCGCUACACCUCCCCAUCCCCCAGGCCUCGCAUACUGCUGCACAGAGAAUCCUGGUGAGCAGAGCUGAGAGAACUCUGUGAUGCAAACCACAUUGGCAUGCUCAUCCAGAAUCAAGUUCUGGACGGCAGUUUUUCCAUUUACUGACCUGGCAUUCAACAUCAGCAUUUUUAGCCGGGGGGGGGGGGGGGGGCUCAAUUUUUAUACUGGGUGGCCCAUAAAAAUCUCCCACAUUUUGAAGUGGUGUAAAAAAAACAAAUGAAGCUAUCUAGAAAAAAGUGUAUUUUUUUCUGAAAAAUACAUCUAAUCAUUUUGUUUUAAUGGUUUUAAAAAAUUCUAUCAGACAAAUCAUUUUGUAAGGAUGCAUUUUUAAAUCGGUGUGCAAAAUCCUCAACUCUAAUUUAAUUCUCAGAGUACCAUGGCAUUCCUUGGUGAUUACUAAGUGAAUGCUCGUACUGCUUCCAUAUUUUCUGGCAUUUUAGGUUUACCAGGGUUUUUGUUUUCUGUGUGGAUCCACUUGGUUGAAGAUUAGAAAUCCAUCGCAAAAUCGGUUUCCAAUUAGGUACAGAUGCAUUUUGACCAAGCACAAAGCAUGUAUUCAACACUCUCUGUGUCAUUAUCAUGGAACAGUUGUUCUCGUAAUACUCUUGAACAACAAAACUUCAGUGUUCACUGGUCCAACUCAUGAUGGGUGCUGAAUUAGACCUACCCCACCUCUUUACCCCAACUACAGUGCUCUCUCAAAAUAUGGGAGAUCUUUUUCCUCAACCCUGUAUAUGCAGAGUAGGCCCAUAUGUGAUAAGGUAGUCAACUAUUCAUGAAAAAGAUAGGUGGUGUAAAGUCUGUAGAUCAGUAAGCUUCAUUAAAAUAUCUAUGGACAGGUCAUAAAUUUGGGAUGGAGAAAAUGUGAACUUCUAGAUGUUGAACUGCAGUUCCUUUCGUCUCUAGAUACCAAGGCAUCUUGUAAGGAAUGAUGGGAAUUGUAAUUAAGGAACUUUUAGAAUGCUGUUAGAAUAUACAAAUGUCUCUUCCUGAAAUCAUUUAGAAUUAAGAGUUUUUAACUUUGAUGAGGUACUUUCCCCUCUUUUUUAUGUUUCAUUCCUGGCAAACCUAAAAUUGUAAAAUCACCAAAUUUGAUAAUUCAUGUUAUUUUUACCUUUCUUGGAAUGACAAUGAUCUGGUAUCUUGUGUGUAUGUGUGUGUGUUGAAUAAAACCUAUUUGAUCCUGUGUUUCCUUUAAAAUAAUAUCUUGUGAAGAACACAUCUUCGAACUUAACAGUUUGCGGGAGUUUUAGAAUUAUGCUGCUGACCUAAAAUAGUACUAAUACUUGAUUGUUUGCAUACAUCAGUUCUUAAAAUACUAGAAAUUGGGCUAUAGGUAUUGGGAAAAAUAAAGAAGUUAGGAUUUCUA
rnacentral:lncRNA from 1 species